rnacentral:misc_RNA from 1 species
CUCAAUACAAGCAAAGCACUUCAAAACCAUAAACCUAAAGAGGCAGUCGCACAUACUAAACAUAUCCCAAAAUCAGAAGUACAUAAUAAGAUUUAAAAGUUGAAACAUCAGGAGCAUUGAAAGAUGUAAUCAGCGAAGCCUCCUGGCCUCACGCUCAGACUCAAGCAAAGUGAGGAUGUCACCUUCACGAACAGGCCCCUUCACAUUCCUCAUGAUCAU